AACGAACGCUGGCGGCAUGCCUAACACAUGCAAGUCGAACGAGACCUUCGAGUCUAGUGGCGCACGGGUGCGUAACGCGUGGGAACCUGCCCUUAGGUUCGGAAUAACUCCCCGAAAGGGGUGCUAAUACCGGAUAAUGUCUUCGGACCAAAGAUUUAUCGCCUUUGGAUGGGCCCGCGUUGGAUUAGCUAGUUGGUAGGGUAAAAGCCUACCAAGGCGACGAUCCAUAGCUGGUCUGAGAGGAUGAUCAGCCACACUGGGACUGAGACACGGCCCAGACUCCGAGGGGGGGGAGAGGGGGGGAAAAUUAGACAGGGGGCGAAAGCCUGAUCCAGCAAGCCGGGGGGGGGGAGGAGGGCUUUGGGGUUUUAAAGCUUUUUUACCCGGAAUAAAAGAGAGGAACCAGGGAGAAAAAGCCGGGGCAAUACCCG
rnacentral:rRNA from 1 species